GGCAGCGUGGUCUAGUGGUUUGAAUGUUGGACUACUAAGACUCUGCAGACCAGGGUUCAAAUCCCAGCUCGGCUG